rnacentral:rRNA from 1 species
UACAGAGGUCCCGAGCGUUGUUCGGAUUCACUGGGCGUAAAGGGUGCGUAGGUGGUGAGGUAAGUCGGAUGUGAAAUCUCCGGGCUCAACCCGGAAAUGGCAUUGGAAACUACCUUGCUGGAGGAUUUGAGGGGGGAUUGGAAUACUUGGUGUAGCAGUGAAAUGCGUAGAUAUCAAGUGGAACACCAGUGGCGAAGGCAAAUCCCUGGAAAAUACCUGACACUGAGGCACGAAAGCUAGGGGAGCAAACAGG